CUUUAAUAAUGGUGCUUGUAGUCUGACAAAACUCAGAAAUUGCCAGUGUUCUCAUCAGCUUUGUCUCUUUCUGAUUCUGAGACUGGAGUUAAACAAGAACUCUACAUUG